GACGAACGCUGGCGGCGUGCUUAACACAUGCAAGUCGAGCGGUAAGGCCCUUCGGGGUACACGAGCGGCGAACGGGUGAGUAACACGUGGGUGACCUGCCUCUAGCUCUGGGAUAAGCCUGGGAAACUGGGUCUAAUACCGGAUAUGACUCCACGGCGCAUGUUGUGGGGUGGAAAGCCUUGUGUGGCUAGAGAUGGGCCCGCGGCCUAUCAGCUUGUUGGUGGGGUGAUGGCCUACCAAGGCGACGACGGGUAGCCGGCCUGAGAGGCGACCGGCCACACUGGGACUGAGACACGGCCCAGACUCCUACGGGAGGCAGCAGUGGGGAAUCUUGCGCAAUGGGCGAAAGCCUGACGCAGCGACGCCGCGUGAGGGAUGACGGCC
rnacentral:rRNA from 1 species